GCCGCUAUAGCUCAGUAGGUAGAGCGCAUCCUUGGUAAGGAUGAGGUCACCGGUUCAAACCCGGUUAGUGGCUCCA
rnacentral:tRNA from 1 species